rnacentral:rRNA from 1 species
CCUACGGGUGGCAGCAGUGAGGAAUAUUGGUCAAUGGACGAGAGUCUGAACCAGCCAAGUAGCGUGAAGGAUGACUGCCCUAUGGGUUGUAAACUUCUUUUAUAUGGGAAUAAAAUGUUCCACGUGUGGGAUUUUGUAUGUACCAUAUGAAUAAGGAUCGGCUAACUCCGUGCCAGCAGCCGCGGUAAUACGGAGGAUCCGAGCGUUAUCCGGAUUUAUUGGGUUUAAAGGGAGCGUAGGUGGAUUGUUAAGUCAGUUGUGAAAGUUUGCGGCUCAACCGUAAAAUUGCAGUUGAAACUGGCAGUCUUGAGUACAGUAGAGGUGGGCGGAAUUCGUGGUGUGGCGGUGAAAUGCUUAGAUAUCACGAAGAACUCCGAUUGCGAAGGCAGUUCACUGGACUGCAACUGACACUGAGGCUCGAAAGUGUGGGUAUCAAACAGGAUUAGAUACCCGAGUAGUC